UAAAACUUCAGUCCAGAAGAUGUGAAAUUUGAGGAAGAAGAUGAAGAAAAGAGUGAAGAAGCUGCAGUCUGCAGUUCAGCUGGAGCCGAGCGGAGCGAUCAAACGCCCUUUUGUGACUGCGCUGAGAGAGAAGAGUCAGGGGCUGUUCGAGAAUUACAUUAGAGCUUCGGUUAACACCUAAUGAUGCAGUUAAGAAUGGACAGGCAGCACUGAGGAACCUUCAGGCUUGAAUCCUGAGGAGAAGAGGACUGAAUGCAGGUAAGUGUAGACCCCCCCUCCCCUAAACACCCCAAACCAAUAUCCUUGAGCCCUGAGCUAAAGAGCAAUUCUAUUAAAAGUAGUUCGGCCCAAGGUCAGAGUAAAAUUGGUGUGUGUCUGCGUGCCUGUAAAAGGUUUUGGUGCUGGUUUUGUUUUGUUUUCUGAGAUUUGUGUUAUUGUGGCAUUGUGUGGGAUGAAGCUGGAGCAGCUGAACCUUGACUGAACAGAGCACAACUUCCUGAAACCACAGGGCAUCACAUUUUGUCGGAAGGUCACUUGUUCUUUUUGAGCAGAAACUCGAAAAAAUAAAUAAAUAAAGCACAAUAAUGGAAAAGCAUCACAUAUAAUUAGUGAAGGUCUGUCACAAUAAUUAUGUCUUUUAAUUAUUGACUUAUUAAACAAAUUAUGUACAUAACCUCUAAGGCUGUGUAUUAGGAGGAACUUAGUGUUGGUAUGUAUCAAGGGUUACAACACAG